rnacentral:rRNA from 1 species
CAGUAGCCGCGGUAAUACGUAGGUCCCGAGCGUUGUCCGGAUUUAUUGGGCGUAAAGCGAGCGCAGGCGGUUAGAUAAGUCUGAAGUUAAAGGCUGUGGCUUAACCAUGGUACGCUUUGGAAACUGUUUAACUUGAGUGCAAGAGGGGAGAGUGGAAUUCCAUGUGUAGCGGUGAAAUGCGUAGAUAUAUGGAGGAACACCGGUGGCGAAAGCGGCUCUCUGGCUUGUAACUGACGCUGAGGCUCGAAAGCGUGGGGAGCAAACAGGAUUAGAUACCCCCGUAGUCCCUGUCUCUUAUACA